rnacentral:rRNA from 1 species
GACGAACGCUGGCGGCGUGCUUAACACAUGCAAGUCGAACGGAAAGGCUCCAGCUUGCUGGAGUACUCGAGUGGCGAACGGGUGAGUAACACGUGGGUAAUCUGCCCUGCACUCUGGGAUAAGCCUGGGAAACUGGGUCUAAUACUGGAUAUGACCUUUCUCCGUAUGGGGGGUGGUGGAAAGUUUUUCGGUGUAGGAUGAGCCCGCGGCUUAUCAGCUUGUUGGUGGGGUGAUGGCCUACCAAGGCGACGACGGGUAGCCGGCCUGAGAGGGUGAUCGGCCACAUUGGGACUGAGAUACGGCCCAGACUCCUACGGGAGGCAGCAGUGGGGAAUAUUGCACAAUGGGCGGAAGCCUGAUGCAGCGACGCCGCGUGAGGGAUGACGGCCUUCGGGUUGUAAACCUCUUUCAGCAGGGACGAAGCGUAAGUGACGGUAACUGCAGAAGAAGCACCGGCUAACUACGUG